rnacentral:rRNA from 1 species
AUUGAACGCUGGCGGCAGGCCUAACACAUGCAAGUCGAGCGGAUGAAGGGAGCUUGCUCCUGGAUUCAGCGGCGGACGGGUGAGUGAUGCCUAGGAAUCUGCCUGGUAGUGGGGGAUAACGUCCGGAAACGGGCGCUAAUACCGCAUACGUCCUGAGGGAGAAAGUGGGGGAUCUUCGGACCUCACGCUAUCAGAUGAGCCUAGGUCGGAUUAGCUAGUUGGUGGGGUAAAGGCCUACCAAGGCGACGAUCCGUAACUGGUCUGAGAGGAUGAUCAGUCACACUGGAACUGAGACACGGUCCAGACUCCUACGGGAGGCAGCAGUGGGGAAUACUGGACAAUGGGCGAAAGCCUGAUCCAGCCAUGCCGCGUGUGUGAAGAAGGUCUUCGGAUUGUAAAGCACUUUAAGUUGGGAGGAAGGGCAGUAAGUUAAUACCUUGCUGUUUUGACGUUACCAACAGAAUAAGCACCGGCUAACUUCGUG